CUCAGAACUAACGCUAGUGGCGUGUCUUAGUCAUGCGAGUCGAGCGAGAAAGUCUUCUUCGGAAGACGAGUAGAGCGGCGAACGGGUGAGUAACGCGUGGGUAAUCUUCCUUUGAGUUGGGGAUAACAUUCCUAACGGAAUGCUAAUACCGAAUGUGGAGUACGGCUCUUGGGCCGUACUCUAAAGGCGGCCUCUGCUUGCAUGCUGUCGCUCGAAGAUGAGCCCGCGUCCUAUUAGCUUGUUGGUGAGGUAACGGCUCACCAAGGCAACGAUGGGUAGCCGGCCUGAGAGGGUGAGCGGCCACACUGGCACUGAGACAAGGGCCAGUCCCCUACGGGGGCCAGCAGUCUAGAAAUUUGCACAAUCGUCGAAAGACGGAUGCAGCGACGCCACGUGGAGGAUGAAGCCCCUCGGGGUGUAAACUCCUGUCAGGAGGGAAGAAGGUGCGGGUGAUAAUACCAUCCGUUACUUGACGGUACCUCCAGAGGAAGCUCCGGCUAACUGCGUGCCAGCAGCCGCGGUAAUACGUGGGGAGCAAGCGUUGUUCGGAUUUACUGGGCGUAAAGAGCUCGUAGGUGGAUGUGUAAGUCGGAUGUGAAAUCCUCUGGCUCAACCAGAGAACUGCACCCGAAACUGCACAUCUUGAGUCCAGCAGAGGGAAUCGGAAUCAAGGGUGUAGCGGUGAAAUGCGUAGAGAUCCUUGAGAACACCAGUGGCGAAGGCGGAUUCCUGGGCUGGCACUGACACUGAGGAGCGAAAGCGUGGGUAGCGAACAGGAUUAGAUACCCUGGUAGUCCACGCCGUAAACGAUGGGUACUAGGCGUUGGGGGAUGUUGACCCCCUCAGUGCCGUAGCUAACGCAUUAAGUACCCCGCCUGGGGAGUACGGUCGCAAGGCUGAAACU
rnacentral:rRNA from 1 species